GAAAUAUUAAUUUAUAUAAAAAUAUAGGUUUGUCAAACCUAAAAUACUUAACUGGUAUAUUUUU
rnacentral:tRNA from 1 species